rnacentral:rRNA from 1 species
AUUGAACGCUGGCGGCAGGCCUAACACAUGCAAGUCGAGCGAGCGGCGGACGGGUGAGUAAUGUAUGGGGACUGCCCGAUAGAGGGGGAUAACUACUGGAAACGGUGGCUAAUACCGCAUACUAUCGGAUCACCAAUAGGGGAUUAGCUAGUAGGGGGGGUAAAGGCUCACCUAGGCGACGAUCUCUAUCUGGUCUGAGAGGAUGAUCAGCCACACGUGUACUGAACCACGGCCCAGCCCCCUACGGAGGCAGCAGUGGGGAAUAGUGCCCAAUGGGCGCAAGCCUGAUGCAGCCAUGCCGCGUGUAUGAAGAAGGCCUUAGGGUUGUAAAGUACUUUAAGUUGGGGAGCGUUACCAACAGAGUAAGCACCGGCUAACUUCGUGCCAGCCGCCGCGGUAAUAC